UGCAACGAAAAGUUGCCAUUUUUAGAUUGUGUUGCAUCUGUAAUUCUUAAAUUUUUGGUUAAAUUGUUAAAUGAAAUAACGAAAGGAAUUAUUUGGAAGAUAAGUUAUCACAGUACAACCACUGCAAGAUUUUGUCUACAUUUUGCCUUUGGAUGCUUUGCUAGCUGGUUCAGGAUGGUGUCAUAGGAGGAAAAUUAUGAGGACAUUCCUUUCUUAUAAAUCCAGAAUUACCUUCAACAGUAUUGACAUUACGGUGACCUACAGCCUGAAACUUCUUGAAGGAAGUAAGCUACAUAUUUUGAAGAAAGUAACUGUAGUAUUCUGAAGAAGCUGUCUCACAC